UGAUGCAGCGACGCCGCGUGAGGGAUGACGGCCUUCGGGUUGUAAACCUCUUUCAGUAGGGAAGAAGCGAAAGUGACGGUACCUGCAGAAGAAGCGCCGGCUAACUACGUGCCAGCAGCCGCGGUAAUACGUAGGGCGCAAGCGUUAUCCGGAAUUAUUGGGCGUAAAGAGCUCGUAGGCGGUUUGUCGCGUCUGCUGUGAAAGACCGGGGCUCAACUCCGGUUCUGCAGUGGGUACGGGCAGACUAGAGUGCAGUAGGGGAGACUGGAAUUCCUGGUGUAGCGGUGAAAUGCGCAGAUAUCAGGAGGAACACCGAUGGCGAAGGCAGGUCUCUGGGCUGUAACUGACGCUGAGGAGCGAAAGCAUGGGGAGCGAACAGGAUUAGAUACCCUGGUAGUCCAUGCCGUAAACGUUGGGCACUAGGUGUGGGGGACAUUCCACGUUUUCCGCGCCGUAGCUAACGCAUUAAGUGCCCCGCCUGGGGAGUACGGCCGCAAGGCUAAAACUCAAAUG
rnacentral:rRNA from 1 species